rnacentral:lncRNA from 1 species
CUAAACAGAUGUUUUGCUUUAUAUUUCUGUCUUAAUCUGGAAAUUCUUUCUCAACGUACUUGUAGACAUUGGUCUUGGAUUGUAUUUUUGAAUAUAGCAUUGCCAAGGCAGUUGGUUUUUUUUUUUUAUCAUUUCUAUCGCAUCAGACAUUGAGCUUUUAUUUCUCCGAAGCUCCUCAAUUCUCACAUAAAGUGUUCUCAUUCGCUGUUUUCAUAACUUUUUAACACAUCUAUUAUCUGUUCAUAUGUUUGAACAAUUAUUUUAUGGUGGCUGUCUCCUUUUUUGCUUCAUUAUACAUUUAUUACAGCACCAACCACUUGCUUCAUUGUGUUUGCUUAUGGACCCUGGAUUCUCUGAUAUUACUGUUGUUCCCUUACUUGUGAACAGUCUUUGUUUGCUUUUCAUUGCAUGUUAAUUUUUAUUUUAGUCUGAUGAUAUGUAAUUAAUCAGGGUCCUCGCGGUAACCGCGAAUACUUGGGUCGAGGUCCACCUCCUGGAUCUGGACGCUGCUUCAAUUGUGGCCUUGAUGGUCAUUGGGCCCGAGAUUGCAAAGCUGGGGAUUGGAAGAACAAGUGCUACCGAUGUGGGGAUAGGGGUCAUGUAGAAAGGAACUGCAAGAACAGUCCCAAAAAAACGAGGUAGGCUGUAUUGCAGUGUUUCCUAACUCCUGCAUUGUUAUUGAAUUUUUCUUAUAAUGGUUGUUGCUUUCUGAUGGAGUUUGUGAGAUCUAAUCUAGUGAUGUCAAUUUGACUUGUUAUAGUGGCAGACGUGGAAGGAGUUAUUCUCGUUCACCGGUCAGGUCUCGUUCCCCUCGUCGUGACAGAAGUCGUGAUCGAAGUUAUAGCCGAGACCGCAGCUACAGGUAUGCAGUCAUUGGGCAAGGUUUCAAUAGAAUUAGUUGUUUGCUGUUGUCUCAGUAUACAUUAUUGUAUUGUGAAAUCUCAGUAGACAUUAGUGUAUUGUCAAUUUUUGCUUGUAAGCUGAACUUUAGUGCCAUUGUUUUUGCCAGCCGAUCAAGAUCCCCUAUCGGUAGAGAAAAAAGCCCACUUCGUGAUGGAUCACUCAGUCCUCGCAACAGAAGCCCUGUGCCUAAAAGUAGCCCUCAGCCCUCCAAGACCAGGAAGCAUAGUUUAUCACCUGACCGAGCUAGCCCACAGAAGAGAGGUGACUCCUCUCCUGCUGAGGAUGGGUUGGUCACCCAGCAAGAUGGGUCUGACUACAGCAAUGGCCAUAGAGAUAGGAGCAGAAGCCCUGCUAGCCCUGUAAGGGACCGUGAAGGUAGCCUUAAAGCUAAUGGUCGCAGUCAGAGCCCUGGCCGAAGUCCAAGGGAUGAUGACAGGAGCCCCAUUGAUGAUGAUGAUGGCAACCACCGCCGCUUGCCAAGAGGUAGUGAGUCCCCUUGAAUUGUAUUAUUCUGAGAAAUGAACUCAGGAAGCUGUGGAGUGUUUUAUCUGAUUUGGUUACCGAAUGCACUUCAUCGUAAAUUAUGUGUCAAUUAUUCUCGCUCAAACAAUUGCAAAACUGUAUAUCUGUUAUUCAGAUUUAGUGUUUGUUGUGCUGUGUGCGGCAUGACAAGAAUAUAGCUUUGAGGACAAAUAUUUUGAACCAAUGCAUGCGAAUUGUUAUGAGAUUUAAAAUCCAGCAUGUUGUGUCCUUUCUUUAAGUUCAAAUGUUGAAGCCUUUUUUUAAUUAUCUCGCACAAUUUGGUAAUGCAUGUUAGGAAUUAAUGUGAAUCAAUCUGAAACUGACGUUUGACAUGUUUAGGCUUUAGGGUGUUUUUUUAGUGUUACUUUGGUGAAGGUUUAAGUACGACUUCCAAAACCCCAAUAUAAAGUUGGCACAACAAAGCAUUUCUAACUAUUGCAUAAUCUUUCCACGGAUUCUCUAUUGCACUUCUAUAUUUUUUUCCUUUUGUCUUGUGCGCCUUUUCCUCCUUAACCGAAAGCCUUAUGCUUUGUUUGGUUUACCGGUGUUUGGUUUAGCAGAGAAAAAGAGAAGAAGUAGAAGAGGGAACAUGAGUGGAAAAAAGAACAUAUUUUUAUUGUGUUUGAUAUACUAAAAACAUAAUAGAGAAAGAUAGUCAUAAAGGGUGGGUCCACCCAUGGACCAGAGGGUAACUUUGUUUUUUCCCUUUACCUUUCCCUUUACCCUUUUCCUCUUCUUCCUGGCAGCCUCUGUUCCUCUUCCCUUCAUCUUUAUCUUAGCAAAUUCCAGCAAAGGCUUCAUUUUGCCACAAUCGAAAAGCUCCACCACAUUUUCAACUCAGGGGAUGAUUCACUGAGGUGAUUUGUGUAGGGGCUCGUCUUCACUGCCUCCAGCUUGCGUCAUUCGCCAUCACAGAACGCUAUCAGAUUGGAGCCGCCGUCGAAGAGAUCAAGGCGACAUGCAAACUGCCACCAGAUUGGAGCCGUCGUCGACACCGUCAGAUCGAAUCCGCUGUCGCCGCCAUCAUUCUCCAUCAUCGCCUCCAUGACCUAGAUCUAGGGUUUCUCACCUUCAUGGGGUUCUGCUAAAGCUUCGAAAUUUGUUCAGCAAAUGGGUUGGUAGGUCGCCAUGCUUAAGCAAUUUCUCAGUAAGAUGAACCUGUUCGUGAGCAAGCUGGGCCUUAUGUAAAGAGGCGAACUUUGGUUGAACUUGUUGAUUUUGUGUCUUCCUGUUGUGUCUGGUUCAAGUUCAGCUUUUUUUUUUUCGAGUUUUUCAUCUGUUUUUAUGAGUUUUCAGUAUGAAUUGAUUUCUGGAACAAUAUGUAUUUUGAGUUUACUUCAGAUCUGGUUAUUAUGACCAAGCUUUUGUCACCUUCUUGUGUUCACAUAUGGUCUUUCAAUUGAAAAGGUGUCUUCAUCAGCUAAGAGAUAUCAUCCAGCAUUUGUACCCUUUCUUUAGAAUUGGAAUGUGUUGAUAAUGAAAUUGUAUGGGAAAUUUCAUCAGCUAAGAAAUUCAAUACAGAUUAUGGAACAAUUCUGCACGAAUGUACUUGGAAUAAGUUUAUUUAAACUGCAAUUAUUUGAGAAUGACAAUGGAGGGAUUGAAGGAGGUAUAGUUUGGCUUGGUUGUGGUCUGAUGGAGGUUGGUGGUGGGGUUUCGCUGGGAAGGGUGAGGGAGGGAGAGAAGGGUUUGACAUUUUACACUUUUGCCCUUUUAAUUUUCAACAAAUCCUAGCCGUUGAUCUAAAGAAUAUUCCAAGAUUCUCUAAUCCAAUGGUGUUUAAGGAUGGUCCACCCAUGGACCAGUUUAUAACUUGCCCACCCUAGUGGGCACCUGUCAUAAAGUACCAAAAAAAGUUAUUAUUAACACACAAAUUUCAUCUUAACUUUAGAGAGAAAUAUGAAUGGGAGAGAUAAAUAAUAGUUACGAUGAGUGGUAUGAUAGGAAAUGAAUUGAUGGGUGUGCAAAGAAUGAGUUAGAAGAGAAAAUGGGUGUCAAUAUAUAAAAACUCUAGAGAAAGGGUGACAUUUUGGCUGGAAAAAUGAAAAUAUAAUAAUAGAAGGGUUAAAAUAGGCAUCAAUGCUUUUAAAAUGACAAUAUAUAUAUAUAUAUAUAUAUAAUUAGGUUUGAAAAUGCAAACUGAAAUUGUAUCAACUGUUAUGGUUGCAUUUGGGUCAAUAACUUUAUUUAAGUCUAAUGAAAAGUUGAGAAAUUUAUUGAAAUAAAAUCAAAUUAAGUAUAGGUAGCUAUAAACGCUUAUUCAUAAUAUAAUCUGAUAUACUUGCAAAAAUAAACUCAAAAUAACUUUUAUGUAGGCCAUAAACUAUUAAUAAACACUUGCAUAAGCACUUAUGCAAUAAGAUAAACUCAUAAAUUCUUCUAAACUUGCCAGUGUAGAGACAAAUAUUUUACCGAACAAGUCAAGUGCUUUAUAACUAAAGGGAAUAGCUCUCACCACCCCAAGAUACUCUCUUCAAACCACCUUUUUUUGUUGAACUUCCAAACAUACCCUCGAUCUUCUCCUCAACCCCUUACGUUCCCCUUCCUCUCCCAUAACCACCCGACCCUCACCCUCAACCUCACUCUCACUUCCCCAACCAAAGUCGUUACACCACCGUCAUCAUCGUAAAUGUUAUUGUCGUCUCGAAAGUUGCAAGGAGAAGAAGACGCGCCAUCGAAAGUGUUUCUAAAAGAAAGUUUAUACAACUUCCGGAAACUAGUUCGAAAGCAUGUAACUCACAUUCCAAAAACAUGCCCUUCUCCUCUCCCUUAGGUAGCCUACUAAGAGUAUUUUGAAGAAUAAAAAAAGUUAAGUGGUUUGGGCCUAACCCAUCAGAAGCCCCCUGUUGGCCCAAGUUAAACAAAAAACAAGAGGUGGCAAUCACUCACUCUUGUAUAAAUAGUGAAACAUGUGACCAAGGACAGAUCCACUUCGCAAGGGUUAGGUUUCGAGAGAGAAAUCAGCAAACUACCCAAAGGUACCUCCUCUCUCAAUUCGAUUCCAUCUUCUUCUUCUUUCUUUUCUGGUUUGUGAUUUCAAUCGGAAUUUUCCAUCGCACGCUUUUUCUUGUCAAUUAAUUAUCCCCUCAAUUGAAUCGAUUGGAUCCCUUUUGUUAAUUCUCGAAAGGAUUUGUUCUUGCAGUAUUUUGAUUUUGAUUUGUUUCAAUUUGUCGUGAUAAUUGCAAUUGGAGUUAGGGUUGUUUCUCUGUGAUCAAUUCCUCAGUUAAUUACGCAAUUUCUGUUUGUUGUGUGUUUCAGAGCUUACAAGGAAUCAACAAUGCCUCGCUAUGAUGAUAAGUAUGGUAACACCCGCCUCUAUGUGGGUCGCUUGUCUUCCAGGACGCGUUCCCGUGAUCUCGAGCGAGUCUUCAGCAGAUAUGGAAGGUAACUCCCCUUCUUAUCACCAAAAUAUGCAUAGAUAUACUCUUGGUUACUGCUCAAUGCAAUCUUGGGACAUUGUUGUUUGCAAUGCUUUGGUAUCUUUUCUGUGUUUGUUCUGUCAUGCCAUGGUUGCUUUUGUGUAUAUAUUGGAUAGGAUAGGAUUGGAUAGGAUGAAUAACUUCAAUUCUAUGAUUACCUCCUUUUUUUCGCUGAGAGUCGCAAAGAACUUUUGUUGUAGCACAUUGUUGUUCAAUUUGUGUCAAUUCAUGUGUGGAAAACUGAUUAUCAUUUACAAUGGGCAAGAGAGAUAAAUUAGGGAUAAGUGGGCGUGGGGUGCCGUCCAUGUGUUGCGCUGGAAUUUAAGGGCUAAUAUACAGGCUUUUCCAAGCUUCGUAUUGCGCUUGGAUUUAUGAAUUGGUUAUUCGUCAUGUUAUUAGUGGGAACGAUAUCCCUUAGGUGUCUUGUUUUAACUUGAAUGAUCUUGUUGAAGGUUUCUGGGGUUUUGGCCAAAUCUGAAGGUCUGUGGUGGGAGGGUGUCCUUGGUGGAAUUGGUGCAAUCCCCCUAGUAUCUCCUUUGGCGAUUCUUUCUGUAAUGUUAUUGCGUGUUUUUAUGGAAUUGGCAACAAUCACAAACUGGUGUUUAGUUCUGUCUUUGAGGGGCGCAGUAUCAUGCAGUUCCAGUAGUUAAGUAAUGAUGGCCUUACUGUUUAUGGAAACCAUUUCCGCAGAGUUCGAGACGUGGAUAUGAAGCGUGAUUAUGCCUUUGUUGUAAGUUGUCACCCUUUCCCUGUCUCUGUUCUUUAUUCCUUUUGGCUUCUAUUUUUCCUCAUGCUUUUGAUUAAAGGUGGCUUCUAGUAUCUGCUUGGGGGAAAUCAGGUGUAAAUGUUGGCAAGAUUUAUGUGUUGCUUUCCUGCCUUGGUCCUUACAUCUUUUGAACAGGAAUUUAGCGAUCCUCGAGAUGCUGAUGAUGCAAGAUAUAACUUGGAUGGACGUGAUGUUGAUGGAAGUCGUCUUAUUGUUGAAUUUGCAAAAGGGGUAGGAAUACUUCCCUUUGAGGCUUAUCAGUACCAGUUUUUUAUUGGUUAUUUUAGUCUUAUUAUAUCAUUUAUAAUUAACUAUCAAUGUGAUCUUUCCUUUGGUGCUAUACUAUUGGUUAAUGCAUGUCUGUAAAAGAGUCGAGAUAUUUCAUUUGAAAGAGCUUACUCCAUAUGUUCACAUUUACAUGCAUUGGAUCUUAAAGUUACGUACAGUGACAUGAUCCUUGUGUUUGUGUUUGAGCGCACCAAUUUUGCAAAGGCAGUAUGUGUUUGUGUCACUUUUAUAAUCUAUAAAUAAACUUUUUCCUAUCCUCAGUGUCUCACCAACAUUGUUUACUUCAGUGAUUCUUUCGAUAUAUUGAUUCUGGUUAUAAACUUUUAACUGGAAUUGUCCCUCGACUGAUUAGAAUCCUGCCUCGAAUAAUAUUGAAAUUUUGCAUUUAGCUUUUGUGCUAUUGAACCAUCCUCUUUUUAUGUACUAGUUGUUUAAAUUAGAGAGUAAAUUACACUCCCCUUUCCCGAGUGACGCCUAAAUUACUGUCCUCUCCUUCAAUGUAAAUAAUAUCACUAAUCUUUCUUUAAGAUAAACAUGUGUUGCAUUUUUGUCUAUUACUGCCCUCUCCUUUAAUGUAAUUAAUAUCAGUACCCUGUAUUUACGAUAUACAAGUGUUGCAUUUUUUGUCUAUUUGAGCAACCUUCUUGCAUACCUCUUUUUCCUCCAUUUGUUAUUCUUGUGAUCAUGAGCAUAUAGUUUUGAACUCAUCAACCAUUAGACUAUGCAAGUUGAAAUGAAGGGUUUUCGUACAGUUUUGAAGUGUUGAUAAUAUGAGUGCUAUAAACAACAUUAUAUCCACUGAAGUCCUAAAAUCAAUAAUAAGUUGCUCAAAACUAGUUGUCUUUAACAUUUAACAUUUUUAGAGAAAGGAAAUAUAUUUUGGGGGACUCAAUUGUAGUUGCUUACCAUCACUAAAAGGAGACGCAAUAAUAUUUUGGGAGACUCAUCAAUUGACUCUUCUGUGGAUGGUAUUUUAUUAUUGUAGUGGUUGCUUGAAUACUUUUCAUAGUAUCAAUUGUUUGUGUACUCUGGCAUUCCUGAUCUUGUUUCGAUUGUCUUUAUGUGGUUUUUAAUUAUUCAGGUUCCCCGUGGUUCUCGUGAAGGGGGCGGGGGCCGGGACCGCGACCGGGAAUAUAUGGGUCGUGGUCCACCUCCUGGAUCUGGACGCUGCUUUAACUGUGGUAUUGAUGGCCACUGGGCU